CGGGCGGCGGUGGCCUAUACUGCAAGUCGAGCGGGGUUUAUGGGUAGCUUGCUACAGAUAAACCAAGCGGCGGACGGGUGAGUAACGCGUGGGCAACCUGCCCUCUAGCCUGGGAUAACAGCGCGAAAGUGCUGCUAACACCGGAUAUGCUCACAGGGAGACAUCUCCCAGUGAGGAAAGUUUACACUAGAGGAUGGGCCCGCGUCCCAUUAGCUAGUUGGUGAGGUAACGGCCCACCAAGGCGACGAUGGGUAGCCGACCUGAGAGGGUGAUCGGCCACACUGGGACUGAGACACGGCCCAGACUCCUACGGGAGGCAGCAGUAGGGAAUUUUCCGCAAUGGGCGCAAGCCUGACGGAGCAACGCCGCGUGAGGGAUGAAGGUUUUCGGAUCGUAAACCUCUGUCUUCAGGGACGAUAAUGACGGUACCUGAGGAGGAAGCCACGGCUAACUACGUGCCAGCAGCCGCGGUAAUACGUAGGUGGCGAGCGUUGUCCGGAAUUACUGGGCGUAAAGGGCGUGUAGGCGGCCUUUUAAGUCAGAUGUGAAAUCUCAGGGCUUAACCCUGAAACUGCAUUUGAAACUGGAGGGCUUGAGGAUCGGAGAGGGCAGUGGAAUUCCCAGUGUAGCGGUGAAAUGCGUAGAUAUUGGGAGGAACACCAGUGGCGAAGGCGACUGCCUGGACGACACCUGACGCUGAGGCGCGAAAGCUAGGGGAGCGAACGGGAUUAGAUACCCCGGUAGUCCUAGCCGUAAACGAUGGGUACUAGGUGUGGGAGGUAUCGACCCCUUCCGUGCCGCAGUUAACACAUUAAGUGCCCCGCCUGGGGAGUACGGCCGCAAGGCUAAAACUUCAAAGGGAAAUUGACCGCGC
rnacentral:rRNA from 1 species